GACAGAGGUCCCGAGCGUUGUUCGGAUUCAUUGGGCGUAAAGGGUGUGUAGGAGGUCGGGUAAGUCAGGUGUGAAAUCUCAGAGCUUAACUCUGAAACUGCGCUUGAUACUGCUCGGCUAGAGGAUCGGAGGGGGUAACGGAAUUCAUGGUGUAGCAGUGAAAUGCGUAGAUAUCAUGAGGAACACCGGUGGCGAAAGCGGCGCACUGGACCAUAACUGACGCUGAGGCGCGAAAGCUAGGGGAGCAAACAGG
rnacentral:rRNA from 1 species